rnacentral:rRNA from 1 species
CACGCAGGCGGUUUUGCGCGUUUCGAGUGACAGCGGGUGGCUUAACUGCCCGAGUAUUCGAAAGACGGCAGGACUUGAGGGCCAGAGAGGGACACGGAAUUCCGGGUGGAGUGGUGAAAUGCGUAGAGAUCCGGAGGAACACCGAAGGCGAAGGCAGUGUCCUGGCUGGUGACUGACGCUGAGGUGCGAAAGCCAGGGGAGCGAACGGGAUUAGAUACCCCGGUAGUCCUGGCCGUAAACGAUGACCACCAGGUGUGGGAGGUAUCGACCCCUUCCGUGCCGGAGUAAACACACUAAGUGGUCCGCCUGGGGAGUACGGUCGCAAGAUUAAA